AUACAAAAGAGAGCAGCCCAAUAGUGACAUGCCCUUGAAAAUAAUAAUAAAGAAAGUAAGAAAAUGAAGAGGCAAAUGAAUCAGAAGCUCUGCUAAUUCCUCUCCAUUGUCUUCCAUCAUUUGAGCAAAUAGGAAAGUGAUGAUCUGUUGUGAACCAAACUAACAAAAAUGUUCAACAAUGAGCUCCCUGAGCAAUCUUCCAGCAAACUUUUGAUUAACCGAUCACAACCUGCUUCAAUUGGAUUUCUGGAGUUUUUUUUAGGGUCUAAAGCUCAGUUCAGAGGUCCUGCUAGGCCGUGGAGUUUUCAGAUAGCAGUGAUGUGUGCAGUUGGUGAGACUUCUUUAUUCCAGAAGGCCUAUGUCUAUCAGAUUAUGUUAUUUAUUUAUUUUUAGGUCCACUGGGGGCCUUGUCCCAAUUUCAGACAGUUGUCAUUUUCAGAUGUAGUAGAGAUUUCGUAGACUGGUUCAGAUGUUGUGUAGUUGAUAUUGGAUUUCAUUUUUCAUAGUUUAAUUGAACUCAGAGUAUGACCAUGUUUUCGUAAUGAUUUACAAUUCCCCAUCUUCUAUUAUAAUUUAUGAAUAUUGUGCAUAAUUACCAGAUAGAAAGGGCGUUUGGGCCUUCAUGGUUCAGGAUGCUCAUCAAGGCCAGGGCCCCGACUCGGGUCGUGACAGUUGGGGUCAUGGACUGUAUAUAACCACAUAUGCAAAGUGUCUUUCUUAUGGUCAACGCAUUCCUUCGAUUGAGUUCAAUCCUAACGUACUUCGUAUAAGAUAUGCUUCACUAUUGUGGGAUUACGGCAUGAGAAAACAAGAAGCAAAAGCUCAAAGUGACGAUGAAGCACCAUUGGGGCAUGUUAGGGAAAGCAACAUAACAAGUGUCAUAGAAGUAUUUGAAGUAUGAUUGUUGAUGAUUUUAUUCCAUUUUGUAUUUGACAAGAUUUAACUGGAUGUUGAUAGUAAUUUAGUGCAAUAGUUUUUUGAACUUAUUUUCCGUUUGAUGUUAAUGAAAGUUAUUCAUUUUGAAGU